GAUGAACGCUAGCUACAGGCUUAACACAUGCAAGUCGAGGGGCAGCACAGGGUAGCAAUACUUGGGUGGCGACCGGCGCACGGGUGAGUAACGCGUAUGCAACUUACCUAUCAGAGGGGGAUAGCCCGGCGAAAGUCGGAUUAAUACCCCAUGAAACAGGGGUCCCGCAUGGGAAUAUUUGUUAAAGAUUCAUCGCUGAUAGAUAGGCAUGCGUUCCAUUAGGCAGUUGGCGGGGUAACGGCCCACCAAACCGACGAUGGAUAGGGGUUCUGAGAGGAAGGUCCCCCACAUUGGUACUGAGACACGGACCAAACUCCUACGGGAGGCAGCAGUGAGGAAUAUUGGUCAAUGGCCGAGAGGCUGAACCAGCCAAGUCGCGUGAAGGAAGAAGGAUCUAUGGUUUGUAAACUUCUUUAUAGGGAAUAAAGUGGUAGGACGUGUCCUUUUUGUAUGUACCCUAUGAAUAAGCAUCGGCUAACUCCGUG
rnacentral:rRNA from 1 species